rnacentral:misc_RNA from 1 species
CCCCGCUCCGGCCUCGCCUUCAAGCAUGGCGUGACCGUCCUCAAUUCGCCGGGAACCGUCGACGCCGACUAUCGCGGCGAAGUUUCUGUGCUUUUGAUCAAUCACGGCGACGAGCCAUUCGCCGCGGUGAACGCAUCGCACAGCUUGUCAUCGCCGCGGUGACACAGGCAAAUCUGGUGGUCGUCGCAGCGCUGACCUCUACCGAUCGGGGCAGCGGCGGGUUUGGUUCCACCGGACGGUAAAUCGAUCC